AGUGAACGCUGGCGGUAGGCCUAACACAUGCAAGUCGAACGGCAGCACAGUAAGAGCUUGCUCUUACGGGUGGCGAGUGGCGGACGGGUGAGGAAUACAUCGGAAUCUACUUUUUCGUGGGGGAUAACGUAGGAAAACUUACGCUAAUACCGCAUACGACCUACGGGUGAAAGCAGGGGAUCUUCGGACCUUGCGCGAUUGAAUGAGCCGAUGUCGGAUUAGCUAGUUGGCGGGGUAAAGGCCCACCAAGGCGACGAUCCGUAGCUGGUCUGAGAGGAUGAUCAGCCACACUGGAACUGAGACACGGUCCAGACUCCUACGGGAGGUAGCAGUGGGGAAUAUUGGACAAUGGGCGCAAGCCUGAUCCAGCCAUACCGCGUGGGUGAAGAAGGCCUUCGGGUUGUAAAGCCCUUUUGUUGGGAAAGAAAAGCAGCAGGUUAAUACCCCGCUGUUCUGACGGUACCCAAAGAAUAAGCACCGGCUAACUUCGU
rnacentral:rRNA from 1 species